UACAGAGAGAGAUGUAUGUUCUUAUGUUGAAAUGAUAGUCCAUCUCCCACUUGCUUCUAUUCCUAACCCAAAAAAGGUUCUGAUUGUUGGAGGAGGAAUGGGAUUUACUUUGAGAGAAGUUUUACGUUAUCCAUCUGUUGAAAGAGUUGAUUUGGUCGAAAUUGAUGACAUGGUGGUUAAUGCUUCAAGGAAAUAUUUUCCUGACAUAGCUAAGGGAUACGAGGAUCCACGUGCAACCAUUUAUGUA